ACUCAGUAGCGGCAGGUGCAGCUGCUACAGCAAACUUAGAGGGGUCCUUGAGGUACUCCUUGGUCUUCUCAGCAAGAGGGAAAGAGUACUCAGUCUCCACAGCAAUAGCCAACAAGUUCUUGUACGAGUUGACGAAGGAGUGGGGGACAGCAGCCAAGGUGGGGUAGUUCAGGGCCAGUGACACUGCAGCCACAGUGGAGACACCAGCAGCGAACUUGUCCAACAGGUCGUCUUCGGUCAGGUCCAACACCUCAGGUGCGAAGACUGAACCGUUGUCGUAGAUGUUCACAACGACAAGACCGUAAGAGAAUGGCCUGAUGCCCAACUUCGCCAAAAGCGCAGCCUCGGACGAUCCGACCUUGUCACCCUUGUGGACAAGCUCGACAGGGGCGAUAAUCUCGACAGUACCCUUGUUAAUCUUGGUGGGAAUGUUAAGGACCUGGAGAGUUCAGCAUUCUAUUCGUCAGAAACCUUCAGUUAACAGCGUUUCAUAACUGCCAUAAAGAACGACAUCAGAAAAAGGACACUUGCCCACUGCGAUAAGCUAAAUUGACUGACUGGAAUCUCAUUCAUAGAACAUACCAUAUACCGAAGACCUUACCUGG
rnacentral:lncRNA from 1 species